CUUUUGCCUACCUCUGCCUUUUCGUUUCUCUCUUCCUCUCCUUGGAGCGAAACAGCGGCAGCAGCCUCUGUUUUGUUCCGUUUCUUCUCUUCCACCGACUACCACCGCUUCUGAAGAAUAAAUAUGAUCCCUCAGAGAAGAUAUAUCCGCUGGAUACGACAAUGUCAAGGUUAUUGACUUGAACUUUUGUCCUUGGAUUGCACUCGCUUUCUCAUGGAUUAAAUGGUGCUUUCCUCGAUGCCGUUCGUGCCGCUUCGCUUGAUAGUGUUUAUGCCUUGAUGGAUUAAUGUUUGGUGUCGACUUUGUUGGUCAGGAUCUUCGCCAUCUUAAGGAUUGGAAAAUCUCUGGAGUUGACUAUGGCAAGUUUUAAGCUUUUGAAUGAGUUAGAUAAGUGUUUCCCUCGGGUGCAUUUGUCUGUUGUUGAUGAAAUGAAAUCGUCCAGUAAAGGCAUAUGUUAAUCGUGGAGAAUGAGGCUUGGUCGCCAUUUGUUUUCAGCUUUGAAAGUACUAGUAGCGAGAGGGAAGCUGCUAAUAACCCUGGGGAUCAGUUGACUCCUCUGGUUUCCAACGUUUGAUAGAAGACCUUGCUGAUGCAACUGCUGAACCAAACUUCCAAGCCUCAGAAACAAAGGUUAGUUCAAUUGCACUGGGCUUGAUCUUUUAGUUAGGAGAAGAGAUAGAAUAGGUAUAGGGGAAGGGAAGGGAAGAGAAGAGAAGAGAAGAGAAGAUAAGAGAAGAUAAGGGCAGGGAAUAUUUUGAAGUUAACUAUCUCUUGUUUGGAUUGUUAAAUUGAAAAAGCAGGUGUCAAGACAGAUAAACUACAAAAACUUGAUGAAGGAUUGGCUGGCCAUUAUGUGUAAGCUGUAUCAAACCAAUGCUGGAUUCACUGACGAUCUGAUAAGUUCAGAGAAGUCUACGGCACAACCAGCUGAAAAUUUUGAUACUGCUGCUACAAUUGCUUUACUUGAGAUAGGAAAGAAUACCCAUGCAGAAGUUUCUGAUAAUGAUUAUGGAGCUUGACUUGUCGAAGAAGACAGCAGAAAUGCAAAGGUCUACUACAAGGGCAGAUGGUGUCAGAACUCCUCUGCUGGAGAUAGUUCUGGACGAGCUAACUUACGAUAAGGAUAUUCUUGACUCAUUUCUUCAGAAACCAAGUACAGUAAGAAAACAACUGAACAGAUGGAUGUGUACAGCUUUGGUGUUGCACUAUUGGAGCUAGUGAGGGGUCGGCAAGCGGAGCAAGCAUUACAAUCUGAGUCUCUCGAUAUAGUGAAGUGGGUACGACGAAAGGUCAACAUUACAAAUGGAGAGGUCCAAGUUCUUGAUCCCAAGAUAACAAGUUCAGCCCAGCAAGAGAUGCUAGUAGCUCUAGAAAUUACUCUGCAUUGCACUUCUGUGAUGCCGGAAAAGAGACCAUCAAUGUCUGAAGUUGUGAAAUCACUUCAGUCCCUCGACUCGAUGACUCAAACUGCUGUUGUAGACUUUUCUGCCUUCGAGGAGCAUUCGGUUGUCUGAGCAAUGAGUUACAAGUGACUGGGAUUUUAUUUGCAUUCCACAUAAAUUGAACUUCAUUCUAUAUAGCGGCUCUUGAUGAGUAAAAGAAGACGGUUGGGAAUGGUUUUUUCGUCUGUUGUUGAACAGAGAAUCAAGGGAUUUGGUUAACACUAGUAAGUAGUAAUGAGUAUAUACUAAUUUAUAUACUCCGACAACCAAUGUCUGAAGUUGUGGGCUCUCUAACACAAGUACACAACUAAUACAGAAGCUCAAGGGGAAAGGCAAUGGAGCGGAUGGUACCCAAGUAGACCCCUUUGAGAGAUCAUUCUGUUCAACCAACACCCGCUUUGAUCUAUUUCUCCAUCUGAAAUAGCCACUAGUAGUGAUCAGUACAGGCACAACUGAAUCUACUGGAUUGGAUGUUUGAUAACAAAUGUACUCUACAGUCCAGGGGCUUGGUCUCCGUGACAUUUUUAGCUACGCGGUCUAAUGAUGUCUUAGCCUUAAGAGGUGGUAUUUAAUCAAAUACUAGAUUUUAAAUA